rnacentral:rRNA from 1 species
CCAAUAGCGUAUAUUAAAGUUGUUGCAGUUAAAAAGCUCGUAGUUGAAUUUCGGGACUAAUAUGUCGGUCGUACUUUGUACGUACUAGCAUUAUUGGUUUCUCCCUUCUGACGAACCACGAUGUCAUUAAUUUGGUGUCGCGGGAAAUCAGGACUGUUACUUUGAAAAAAUUAGAGUGUUUAAAGCAAGCUCGCGCUUGAAUACAUUAGCAUGGAAUAAUGAAAUAGGACGUUUGAUUCUAUUUUGUUGGUUUCUAGGAUCGACGUAAUGAUUAAUAGG